CAGAACACCACAGGAUCCCCACUGUACCCCGCUGUUCAUCAGAAAUCACAUGUAAUGCACUGAGCACAUGAUUCAGGAUUUCAGUGUUGCAGUGCUUCUGUGGUUGUUUAUGGAUGUGCUGCCUGAUGCUGCUGGAAGUUCAUGUGUUUUGGGAUUUAAGGUCUUACAGCAGCACUGAGAGUUUUGACACUAGCGUUUGUUUAGCAGACGUGAUGGUGGAGCGCAUGCUAGUCAUC